CUACGGGAUGCUGCAGUGGGGAAUCUUAGACAAUGGGGGAAACCCUGAUCUAGCCAUGCCGCGUGAGCGAUGAAGGCCUUAGGGUUGUAAAGCUCUUUCAGCUGGGAAGAUAAUGACGGUACCAGCAGAAGAAGCCCCGGCUAACUCCGUGCCAGCAGCCGCGGUAAUACGGAGGGGGCUAGCGUUGUUCGGAAUUACUGGGCGUAAAGCGCGCGUAGGCGGACUAUUAAGUCGGGGGUGAAAUCCCGGGGCUCAACCCCGGAACUGCCUUCGAUACUGGUAGUCUUGAGUUCGAGAGAGGUGAGUGGAAUUCCGAGUGUAGAGGUGAAAUUCGUAGAUAUUCGGAGGAACACCAGUGGCGAAGGCGGCUCACUGGCUCGAUACUGACGCUGAGGUGCGAAAGCGUGGGGAGCAAACAGGAUUAGAUACCCCGGUAGUC
rnacentral:rRNA from 1 species